rnacentral:misc_RNA from 1 species
ACACCUCAACUCUCAUGGGUUUGCCAUGAUGAGCUUGGACUUUGGGGGUCUUGCUGGCCUGUGGUCGGCUCCUCUCAAAUGAAUCAGCUUUCCAGUGUUUGGUGGCAUCACGGGUGUGAUAAAUAUCUACGCUUGUGGUUUCCUGCCAGGUAACCUUCAGUGAUGGAGGUUCACUGGGGCUCAUAAAUGUCUCUCCUCAGUGAAGACAGCUUUGUGAAU